rnacentral:sRNA from 1 species
UGAGCGGGGUAAAGCCAGA